rnacentral:rRNA from 1 species
CCUACGGGAGGCUGCAGUAGGGAAUAUUGCUCAAUGGGGGAAACCCUGAAGCAGCAACGCCGCGUGGAGGAUGAAGGUUUUCGGAUUGUAAACUCCUUUUGUUAGGGAAGAUAAUGACGGUAUCUAACGAAUAAGCACCGUCUAACUCCGUGCCAGCAGCCGCGGUAAUACGGAGGGUGCAAGCGUUACCCGGAAUCACUGGGCGUAAAGAGCGCGUAGGCGGGAUAGCAAGUCAGAUGUGAAAUCCUAUGGCUUAACCAUAGAACUGCAUUUGAAACUGUUAUUCUAGAGUAUGGGAGAGGUAGGUGGAAUUCUUGGUGUAGGGGUAAAAUGCGUAGAGAUCAAGAGGAAUACUCAUUGCGAAGGCGACCUGCUAGAACGUAACUGACGCUGAUGCGCGAAAGCGUGGGGAGCAAACAGGAUUAGAUACCCGGGUAGUC